rnacentral:ncRNA from 1 species
UGAAAUAGAACAUGAAACUGUAAGCUCCCAAGUAGUGGGAGGAAAACAAUAUCUCUUACCGCGUGCCCAUUGAAGAAUGAGUCGAUGAAUUAUAGGCAGUGGCUUAGUUAAGGGAAUCCAUCGGAGCUGUAGUGAGAGUGAGUCUUCAUGGGGAAAUUGUCAUUGCUUAUGGACCCGAACCUGGGUGAUCUAUCCAUGGCCAUGAUGAAGUUUGGAUGAAACUAAGUGGAGGUCUGAACUAACUGAUGUUGAAAUAUCAAUGAAUGAGUUGUGGUUAGGGGUGAAAUGCCACUCAAACCCAUAACUAUCUAGUUCUCCCCCAAAUGCAUUGAGGCGCAUUAGUUGACUGAACCAUCUAGUGGUAAAGAACUAUUUUGGUACGGGCCAUGAGAGCGGUACCAAAUUGAGGUAAACUAUGAAUACUAGAUUGCUCCAAUAAAAGGGGUAAAGGUCAGUCAGUGAGACGAUGGGGGAUAAGCUUCAUCGUCGAGAGGGGAACAACCCAGAUCAUCAACUAAGGCCCCUAAAUGACUGCUCAGUGAUGAAGGAGUUACAAGUGCAAAGACAUCCAAGAGGUUUUCCUAGAAACAACCAAUCUUGAAAGAGUGCGUAAUAGCUCACUGAUUGAGCGCUCUUGCACCGAAGAUGAAUGGGACUACGUGAUCUGCUGAAGCUGUGGGAUGUAAAAAUACAUUGGUAGGGGAGAGUUCUGAUUCAGAGGGAAGCAUCGGCGCGAGCAGGUGUGGACAAAGCAAAAGCGAGAAUGUCGGCUUGAGUAACGCAAACAAUGGUGAGAAUCCAAUGCUCCAAAAACCUAAGGGUUCCUCCACAAGGUUCGCCCACAAAGGGUGAGUUAGGGCCUAAGAUCAGGUCAAAAGGCAUAGUCGAUGGAAAAUAGGUAAAUAUUCAUUUACUGCCCCUUAUUGGUCCCAAGGGACGGAGGAGGCUAGGUUAGCCGAAAUAUGGUUAUCGGUUCAAGGACACAAGGUGACCCUGCUUUUUUCAGGGUAAGAAGGGGUAGAGAAAAUGCCUCGAGCCAAUGUAUGAGUACCAAGCACUACAACGUUGAAGUAACCCAUGCCAUACUCCCAGGAAAAGCUCGAACGACCUUUAACAAACAAGUACAUGUACCCGAAACUGACACAGGUAGGUAGGUAGAGAAUACCUAGGGGUGCAAGACAACUCUCUCUAAGGAACUCGACAAAAUAGCCCCGUAACUUUGGGAGAAGGGGUGCCUCCUCAGAAGGUCGCAGUGACCAUGCCCGGGCUACUGUUUACCAAAAAAAUAGGUCUUUGCAAAGUUGUAAGACCAUGUAUGGGGGAUGAUGCCUACCUAGUGCUGGAAUGUUAAGGAAUUUGGUGAGCUGAUGACAGGGAAGCCAACGACCGAAGCCCCAGUGAACAACAGUCGUAACUAUAACGGUCCUAAGGUAGAGAAAUUCCUUUUCGGUUAAGUUCCAACCGACACAAAAGGAAUAAUGAUAUGGGCACUAUCUCAUAGAGAGACUUGGUGAAAUAAACAUGUCUGUGAAGAUGCAAACUACCUGCACUUGGACAUAAAGACCCUAUGAAGCUUUACUGUUCCCUAGGAUUGUCUUUGGGUUCUUCUUUCCCAGCUUAGGUGGAAGAUGAAGGAGUCAUUAUGUA